CACCCAACAGCUAGCCCUCCCCCUCCCUAUUACAACAAACCAACAUAAGCUAACCCCCAAAACCCUAACACCAAAACAACCAAACCAUUUUUCCUCCCAAGUAUGGGCGACAGAAAAGGACUCAGGCGCCAUAGAAAAGUACCGCAAGGGAAAGCUGAAAGAGAAAUGAAACAACCCAGUAAAGCACAAAAAAGCAGAGAUUAAACCUCGUACCUUUUGCAUCAUGACCUAGCCAGUAAAGCCUAAGCAAAAUGAAUUUUAGUUUAGCUCCCCGAAACUAUGUGAGCUACUCCAAGACAGCCUAUUAUAGGGCACACCCGUCUCUGUGGCAAAAGAGUGGGAAGAGCUUUGAGUAGAGGUGACAGACCUACCGAACUUAGUUAUAGCUGGUUACCUAAGAAGUGAAUAGAAGUUCAGCCUCUUAGUUUCUUUAGCCCAAACUGAUUACAUCUGCCCCCGGCCCAAAGAAAACUAAGAGAGUUAGUCAAAAGGGGUACAGCCCUUUUGAAAAAGACACAACUUUAACAAGCAGGUGAAAGAUCAAAAGACACAAGGCAUUAUAUCCAGGUGGGCCUAAAAGCAGCCAUCCCCCUAAAAAGCGUUAAAGCUCAAAUAUAUGCCACCCCCAAAUCCCGACAAAAACAUCUUAAGCCUCUCGACCUAUUAGGUCUCUCUAUGCAAACAUAGAAGAGAAAAUGCUAACAUGAGUAAUAAGAAGGCCCCGCCCUUCUCCCGGCAUCUCUGUACAUCAGAACGAACCCCCACUGAAAAUUAACGCUCCCAACACAAAGAGGGUAUUGAACAACACCCUACAAACUAGAAAUACAUUCAACAACCAAAAGCGUUACCCCCACACAGGAGUGCCCCAGGAAAGACUAAAAGAGAAAGAAGGAACUCGGCAAACACUAGCCUCGCCUGUUUACCAAAAACAUCGCCUCUUGAACUAUAAAAUUAUAAGAGGCUCCGCCUGCCCUGUGACCACAAGUUUAACGGCCGCGGUACUUUGACCGUGCGAAGGUAGCGCAAUCACUUGUCUUUUAAAUGGAGACCUGUAUGAAUGGCAUAACGAGGGCUAAGCUGUCUCCUUUCUCCGGUCAAUGAAAUUGAUCUGCCCGUGCAGAAGCGAGCAUAAAAACAUAAGACGAGAAGACCCUAUGGAGCUUCAGACACCAGGACAGCCCGUGUUAAUAAACCUUAACAAAAAGACCAAACAAAACGACCUCUGUCCCCCUGUCUUCGGUUGGGGCGACCGCGGGGGAACAAAAAUCCCCCACGUGGAAUAGGGAAAACCCCCUUAAAAAUAGGGCCACAGCCCUAAUAAACAGAAAAUCUGACCAACAAUGACCCGGCACAGCCGAUCAACGGACCCAGUUACCCUAGGGAUAACAGCGCAAUCCUCUUUUAGAGCCCAUAUCGACAAGAGGGUUUACGACCUCGAUGUUGGAUCAGGACAUCCUAAUGGUGCAGCCGCUAUUAAGGGUUCGUUUGUUCAACGAUUAACAGUCCUACGUGAUCUGAGUUCAGACCGGAGAAAUCCAGGUCAGUUUCUAUCUAUGGAGUAUUCUUUUCUAGUACGAAAGGACCGAAAAGAAGAGGCCUCUGUCAAAACAAGCCUCACCCCAACCUUAGGAAUACAAAUAAAAAAGGCAAAGGGGCGCGUCCUCCAUGUCUGAGAAAAAGACAU
rnacentral:rRNA from 1 species